UACGGAGGGUGCAAGCGUUAAUCGGAAUUACUGGGCGUAAAGCGCACGCAGGUGGCUGAGUCAGUCGAUUGUGAAAGCCCUGGGCUUAACCUGGGAAUUGCAGUCGAUACUACUCGGCUUGAGUAUGGGAGAGGGCAGUGGAAUUCCCGGUGUAGCGGUGAAAUGACGUAGAGAUCGGGAGGAACAUCAGUGGCGAAGGCGGCCAUCUGGGACAACACUGACGCUGAAGCACGAAAGCGUGGGGAGCAAACAGG
rnacentral:rRNA from 1 species